ACACGACUACAUUAGAUACCCCCUGUAGUCCCAGCCCUAAACGAUGCGCGUUAGGUGUAUCGGUGACCACGAGUCACCGAGGUGCCGAAGGGAAACCGUGAAACGUGCCGCCUGGGAAGUACGGUCGCAAGGCUGAAACUUAAAGGAAUUGGCGGGGGAGCACCACGACGGGUGGAGCCUGCGGUUUAAUUGGACUCAACGCCGGGAAGCUCACCGGAUAAGACAGCGGAAUGAUUGCCGGGCUGAAGACCCUGCAUGACCAGCUG
rnacentral:rRNA from 1 species